ACGGCUUCUUUGUCAUAAAAAGAGUCAUUGUGGACAAUUUUUUGACAUGUACAGUGAAUAUUGGUCGAAACAAAAGCUCUUGGAUCAAAGUCGUUGGGAAUGAAACAAUGUUGGCGGCUGAAGCAACUCCUUUUCAUCUUAUAAAAAAUGGGAACGAUGUCAAAUUUGAAUAUAAAGACCAGUAUAUGGCGUAUGACGAACAAGAUAAGAAAAUAGUGAUGGUUUCGAAAUCUGCCAUUUUAGGCGAAACCUAUAUGAAAAAGUACGAAAGAUAUACAAUAACAUUCUUUGAAAUAUCGAGCCAGUAACAUUCCGUCGGGUUUCUCGCAUUGAUGAAUACUUGCUUACCAUAUGCGCGCACUUAUAAAUACUUACGUACUUGUGUUACAAGAAAUAUACUAUGGAGAAAUAGUAUAUAUAAAUGAAGGUUGUGUCAUGUAUUCGACAAUAUAUCCUUUUUCCAACGAUAAUUUAUCAGCGAGGUUCCAAAAUCCUUAUUCACGUCAAUAAAACAUAAAUUGUGAUAGUAUUGAGUGAUCCAAUGUAUAAA